UGAUCCAGAGUACCACGGGACACGUGAAACCCUGUGGGAAGCAGGAGGGACCAUCCUCCAAGGCUAAAUACUACUUAGUGACCGAUAGCGCAUAGUACCGUGAGGGAAAGGUGAAAAGAACCCCGGGAGGGGAGUGAAAUAGAACCUGAAACCCUGCGCUUACAAGCUGUGGAAGCACUUUAUAUGUGUGACCGCGUACUUUUUGUAGAACGGGCCAACGAGUUACGAUAGUAAGCUAGGUUAAGUACUUAAGGUAUGGAGCCGUAGUGAAAGCGAGUCUUAAAUGGGCGUUAAGUUUGCUGUCGUAGACCCGAAACCGAGCGACCUAUCCAUGAGCAGGAUGAAGCGAAAGUAAAAUUUCGUGGAGGUCCGAACCCACGAGCGUUGAAAAGCUCGGGGAUGACUUGUGGAUAGCGGUGAAAUUCCAAUCGAGCUCGGAGAUAGCUGGUUCUCCCCGAAAUAGCUUUAGGGCUAGCCUCAAGGUUGAGAAAUACGGAGGUAGAGCACUGAAUAUCCUAGGGGGCAUUGCGCUUACCGAAGAUUAUCAAACUCCGAAUGCCGUUAUUUUAUACUUGGGAGUCAGACUGUGGGUAAUAAGAUUCAUAGUCGAGAGGGCAACAGCCCAGAUCGUCAGCUAAGGUCCCUAAAUGUAAGUUAAGUGGUAAAGGAUGUGGGAUUGCAUAGACAACCAGGAUGUUGGCUUAGAAGCAGCCACUCAUUUAAAGAGUGCGUAAUAGCUCACUGGUCGAGUGAUCCUGCGCCGAAGAUUACCGGGGCUAAAACUUACUACCGAAGCUACGAUAUCAUUUAUGAUAGGUAGGGGAGCUUCCUAUGCAGGCUGAAGCAUGACCGUAAGGACGUGUGGACAGUAUAGGAGUGAGAAUGUUGGCAUGAGUAGCGAGACGUGGGUGAGAAUCCCACGGGCCGUAAACCCAAGGUUUCCAGGGGAAGGUUCGUCCGCCCUGGGUUAGUCGGGACCUAAGCCGAGGCCGAAAGGCGUAGGUGAUGGACAACAGGUUGAGAUUCCUGUACCACCGAUAAUCGUUUGAGAGAUGGAAUGACACAGUAGGAUAAGCUAACCACACUGUUGGUUAUGUGUGGCUAAGUACUGAGGCAGUCAAGGCAGGCAAAUCCGCCAUGAUAAUGCUGGGGUACGAUGGGGAGCGAAAUUAAGUAGCGAAGUAGCUGAUUUCACACUGUCGAGAAAAGUUUCUAUCGAGAUUAAAGGUGCCCGUACCGCAAACCGACACAGGUGGGUGAGGAGAGUAUCCUAAGGCCAGCGAGAGAACUGUUGUUAAGGAACUCGGCAAAAUGACCCCGUAACUUAGG
rnacentral:rRNA from 1 species